rnacentral:rRNA from 1 species
AUUGAACGCUGGCGGCAGGCCUAACACAUGCAAGUCGAGCGGAAACGACUUAACUGAACCUUCGGGGAACGUUAAGGGCGUCGAGCGGCGGACGGGUGAGUAAUGCCUGGGAAAUUGCCCUGAUGUGGGGGAUAACCAUUGGAAACGAUGGCUAAUACCGCAUAAUAGCUUCGGCUCAAAGAGGGGGACCUUCGGGCCUCUCGCGUCAGGAUAUGCCCAGGUGGGAUUAGCUAGUUGGUGAGGUAAGGGCUCACCAAGGCGACGAUCCCUAGCUGGUCUGAGAGGAUGAUCAGCCACACUGGAACUGAGACACGGUCCAGACUCCUACGGGAGGCAGCAGUGGGGAAUAUUGCACAAUGGGCGCAAGCCUGAUGCAGCCAUGCCGCGUGUAUGAAGAAGGCCUUCGGGUUGUAAAGUACUUUCAGCAGUGAGGAAGGYAGDKNMGUUAAUAGCGKVMUURUUUGACGUUAGCUGCAGAAGAAGCACCG